AAGCAAGUAAGAAGUAGUAAUUAAUUUUUUUUUCUACAGGUUUUUGUCAUCCUACCAGGAAGUGUCUUAAGCUUGAUCUUGUCCAAGCCCCAUGGAUUUCAUUUUUUUUUCUAUAGUUUAUCUUGGUAGUUAUGAUAUGGAAGACAACUACAAGAGCUUACGACUUAGCUGCUCUUAAGUAUUGGGGACGAGCAACUCACAUCAACUUCCUUUUAUUGGCUGGUAUGCAUUCACUGAACGCCGUGUUUCUUCUUGGAGAUACUACUUUGAAUAGCUUGAGGUUCCCAUGGUUCUGGAUCUCCUAACUUUGUUUUGUGGACAUCUAUAUAUGUCAUUUUCCAAUGGGUCAUCCAUGCUUGUGUCUUACUUUUGUGGCCAUACCCUUUUCUUGACUUGUCAUCCCCUUAUGCUCCACUAUGGUAAGUUAUUGCCUUCUGAAAUGUAUCUCUAAUUUUUAUGGAUUUUUACAGCAUAAUUUCACAGGAAUUUUGAUUUUGCCAAAUAAUGCCUCCAUGAAUUGAAAUACUCGAAAGGUACUUUUCCAUAGGAAGAAAUACAAAAAUGCCUUCAUUUAUUUAUUUAUUUUUCUUUGAAAAAGCAAUGAAUAUGAGAAUUGUGUAGUCCACGUGGUAUAUGUAUGACAUCCAACCCCUCCAAUAUAGGCAUUUGAACAUGAUUAU